UCAAUCCUUCAGGGCAGGGUGCAAUUCCCUACCGGCGGUGAUGUUGUUGUAGAGUGCUUAUUUAUUAAGUUUAUCUACCACACUUAGUCCGCUACCCGGCUCGCGUUGUUGACGCGAACGGUGGACCCGGUGAAAUUCCGGGACCGACAGUAUAGUCUGGAUGGAAGAAGGAGAGG
rnacentral:ncRNA from 2 species